UGGGGGAUAUUGCACAAUGGGCGAAAGCCUGAUGCAGCGACGCCGCGUGGGGGAUGAAGGCUUUCGGGUUGUAAACCUCUUUCGCUAUCGAACAAGGCCCGCUUAGGGUGGGUUGAGGGUAGGUGGAGAAGAAGCGCCGGCUAACUACGUGCCAGCAGCCGCGGUAAUACGUAGGGCGCGAGCGUUGUCCGGAAUUAUUGGGCGUAUAGGGCUUGUAGGCGGCUUGUUGCGCCUGCUGUGAAAACGAGGGGCUUAACUUCGCGCGUGCAGUGGGUACGGGCAGGCUUGAGUGUGGUAGGGGUGACUGGAAUUCCAGGUGUAGCGGUGGAAUGCGCAGAUAUCUGGAGGAACAACGCUGGCGAAGACAGGUCACUGGGCCAUUACUGACGCUGAGGAGCGAAAGCAUGGGUAGCGAACAGG
rnacentral:rRNA from 1 species